rnacentral:rRNA from 1 species
UGUUUCGGCUAGGGGGUCAUCCCGACUUACCAACCCGAUGCAAACUACGAAUACCGAAGAAUGUUAUCACGGGAGACACACGGCGGGUGCUAACGUCCGUCGUGAAGAGGGAAACAACCCAGACCGCCAGCUAAGGUCCCAAAGUCAUGGUUAAGUGGGAAACGAUGUGGGAAGGCACAGACAGCCAGGAUGUUGGCUUAGAAGCAGCCAUCAUUUAAAGAAAGCGUAAUAGCUCACUGGUCGAGUCGGCCUGCGCGGAAGAUGUAACGGGGCUAAACCAUGCACCGAAGCUGCGGCAGCGACACUAUGUGUUGUUGGGUAGGGGAGCGUUCUGUAAGCCUGCGAAGGUGACCUGUGAGGGUUGCUGGAGGUA